rnacentral:rRNA from 1 species
UGAAGCGGCAAUAGCUCAAAUUUGAAAGCUGGCCCCUUCGGGGUCCGCGUUGUAAUUUGUAGAGGAUGAUUCGGCGAGGGCUCCCGCCUAAGUUCCCUGGAACGGGACGUCAUAGAGGGUGAGAAUCCCGUAUGCGGUGGGCUGCCUUAGCCAUGUGAAUCUCCUUCGACGAGUCGAGUUGUUUGGGAAUGCAGCUCUAAAUGGGAGGUAAAUUUCUUCUAAAGCUAAAUACCGGCCAGAGACCGAUAGCGCACAAGUAGAGUGAUCGAAAGAUGAAAAGCACUUGGGAAAGAGAGUUAAAAAGUACGUGAAAUUGUUGAAAGGGAAGCGCUUGCAGCCAGACUUGUCCGCAGUUGCUCAGCCGGUCUCCUGACCGGUGUACUCUUCUGCGGCCAGGCCAGCAUCAGUUCGGGCGGUCGGAUAAAGGCCUUGGGAACGUAGCUCCUCUCGGGGAGUGUUAUAGCCCAGGGUGCAAUGCGGCCAGCCUGGACUGAGGAUCUCGCUUCGGCUAGGAUGCUGGCGUAAUGGCUGUAAGCGGCCCGUCUUGAAACACGGACCAAGGAGUCUAACAUCUAUGCGAGUGUUUGGGUGUCAAACCCAUACGCGUAAUGAAAGUGAACGGAGGUGGGAACCCUCACGGGUGCACCAUCGACCGAUCCUGAUGUCUUCGGAUGGAUUUGAGUAAGAGCAUAGCUGUUGGGACCCGAAAGAUGGUGAACUAUGCCUGAAUAGGGUGAAGCCAGAGGAAACUCUGGUGGAGGCUCGCAGCGGUUCUGACGUGCAAAUCGAUCGUCAAAUUUGGGUAUAGGGGCGAAAGACUAAUCGAACCAUUAAC